rnacentral:rRNA from 1 species
CCACCACAAGAUGAGAUUUCUUUAAAGGGUCGUGGAAGAUGACCACGUUGAUAGGCUAUAGGUGUAAAGGCAGUAAUGUCAUAGCCGAGUAGUACUAAUAACCCAUAGGCUUAUUGUACAGCC